ACCGAAUAGAUACCCGGGUAGUCCUAGCCCUAAACGAUGAUCGCUUGGUGUGGCGGGUAUCCAAUCCCGCCGUGCCGUAGCUAAACGCGUUAAGCGAUCCGCCUGGGGAGUACGGUCGCAGGCUGAAACUCAAAGGAAUUGACGGGGGCCCGCACAAGCGGUGGAGCAUGUGGUUUAAAUUCGACGCAACGCGAAGAACCUUACCUGGGCUCGAAAUGUAGUGGACCGGGGUAGAAAUAUCCCUUCCCAGCAAUGGGCUGCUAUAUAGGUGCUGCAUGGCUGUCGUCAGCUCGUGUCGUGAGAUGUUGGGUUAAGUCCCGCAACGAGCGCAACCCUUAUCUCCAGUUGCCAUCAUUCAGUUGGGCACUCUGGCGAAACCGCCUCGGAUAACGGGGAGGAAGGCGGGGAUGACGUCAAGUCCUCAUGGCCUUUAUGUCCAGGGCUACACACGUGCUACAAUGGCCGAUACAAACCGUUGCAAACCCGCGAGGGGAGCUAAUCGGAAAAAGUCGGCCUCAGUUCGGAUCGCAGUCUGCAACCCG
rnacentral:rRNA from 1 species